GGGAAUAUUGCACAAUGGGCGCAAGCCUGAUGCAGCCAUGCCGCGUGUGUGAAGAAGGCCUUCGGGUUGUAAAGCACUUUCAGUCGUGAGGAAGGUGGUAGUGUUAAUAGCACUAUCAUUUGACGUUAGCGACAGAAGAAGCACCGGCUAACUCCGUGCCAGCAGCCGCGGUAAUACGGAGGGUGCGAGCGUUAAUCGGAAUUACUGGGCGUAAAGCGCAUGCAGGUGGUUUGUUAAGUCAGAUGUGAAAGCCCGGGGCUCAACCUCGGAAUUGCAUUUGAAACUGGCAGACUAGAGUACUGUAGAGGGGGGUAGUAUUUCAGGUGUAGCGGUGAAAUGCGUAGAGAUCUGAAGGAAUACCGGUGGCGAAGGCGGCCCCCUGGACAGAUACUGACACUCAGAUGCGAAAGCGUGGGGAGC
rnacentral:rRNA from 1 species